rnacentral:lncRNA from 1 species
UUAGACUGCUCUAAAGACAUUUAUCAAUUUGUUCACAACGAAGUCCUCACUGAUGUCUCAGGUCCUCUGUCCUCCAGAGUAGGAGUGUACCUGGAUCACAGAGCAGGUAUUCUGUCCUUCUACAGCGUCUCUGAAACCAUGACUCUCCUCCACAGAGUCCAGACCACAUUCACUGAGCCGCUAUAUGCUGGACUGUUUUUCCUGUCUUUUAAGCACCGGUCUGUUGGAGCCUCUGCUAAGUUUAUUGAACCCAAAUAAAGAGAAUUUUGAGUCCAUCAGACCAAAAACAUGUAAUGAGAUCAUUGAACACUUGAAAUGUUCUGGUUUGUAAAUGUUUGUGGAUCAGUCUCACCAGAAACUUUCGGUUUAGUUCUUCAUUUCAGCUUUUUCAUUCUUUUGUAGCAAUCAAGACAACCCUGGGUGUGAAACUCACACAUUCCUCACAGGAAAGUUUCCUUAUCUGGUCCCUCGGUCGUAAAACCCUGCUCAACCAUGUUCUGAUAAAAAACUGCAUUCCUUUGAUGAAAGAAUACAAAUGACUGAUCAUGACAUCUUAUGUAUUCAGCAAUGUACUAAUCUGUCCAAUCAUGAAAUUUGUGUUAAAAUGAGAUGUUUCUCAUUGUUCUAUGUGCUCCAGAAGCUGAGUUAUCACUCUGACAGAAUAAUUCCUUUGUUCUUUAGUUUCUUUAGACCAACAGCUUUUCAGACUGUUUCCUCAACUUUUAAGAGUUACAUUUAUUGACUAUGGAUCAUAAGUUUCCUCUAAGUAACAGAAAUAGUUUAGAAAUGUUUGGUUUAUAUUUUAGUUGUUUAUUUAGUAUUUUUAACCAUUAGGUGGUUAUAAUGUCAUUGAAUAAUCUGAAUGUGAGUAUUUAGAAUCCAUUAGUAAUCACGAUGAAGUUCAUUCACAUGUAUUUACUCUUUUGUUGUUCACAGUUUCCAUGUGUUACUCUCUGUUUCAUUUCAGAGUAAUUUAGCAUGUUUAAUGUGAUACUUGAAACAUAAUGAGAAUGUUUGAUGUGAUCCUACAUUUCUUUAUAUGUGUUUAGUAUCAAAUUAUUUAUCAUGAAACCAAGCAUUCAAUGAUAUUAAUCAUAGUGAGUGAGUAUCAGAUCUGACUCUUUUACCAGCCAAAAGUAUAUGUUAGAUCAAAUAAUCAGAGAUCUGAGGUCUCCUCUGCUUGGAGACCCCACGACCCCUCCUCUUUCUCUUCACACACACACGCCAGAGACACUCCCAGUGUGAGAAGAUAAAACCAGAAAGGGGGGGGGUGCUCACGUUGCUUGUUCCCUUUGUACUCUUGUUGCCUCUCUUCUAUUUUUGCUUUUCUACUCUUAAGUUUUCGUUUAGCUUUUACUACUUAGUCUUACUUUUUCUUAGUCUUCUAAGUUUUGCGUUGAUUCACGUUGAUUUUCUUUAACAUCGUCUUCGUUCAAGUUUUGAAACUUCAACUUUUUGUGCGCAUAGCAAUUCAAGAUUAAGCCUUUGAUUGAUUUUUCUUUAAUUUCGCGAAGCCAUUUUUGAAAGUUUUCUCUGGUCAUCGAGCCUCGUUUUUCUGAGUUAUCUGCGAGAUUUCAAAGUCACCUCUGAACACAACCCAGCAGGCCCGGGUCAUCCUCUGCGCCAGAGUUUUUGAGUGAGACCAAAGAAGCAUCCAAACGAGCAUCCACAGGAUCCACAGGCGCCGGCUUUACUUCAGGCCCGAGUGCUACGACUCCUGGCCCAUCCUUCGGCUGACUUCGGCCGGUAGCCCGGACCUUCGGAACCUGCUCCAUCUUCUCCAAGGACCAGUCUUACUUAAGUAUGCAGACCUCCAGAGCUCCAAAGAGGGCUGAUGCUGUCUCAUGCGGUCAUAACUCAGAUAUCCACUUAUUCUGGUAAUCUUGGAUUCCUCCAAAUCCACAUCCAAAUUUACCUUGACACCAAAGAUAGUGUAGGUUAAUAUGUUCGAGCAUAUUCACUCACUAUCAUUAACUUUAGUGCUCCUAGCCUGACUUAGAAUCUUUAUUUGUUCACCUAUUAUUUUUUAUCCUCAUUAUCUUAUCAUUUAUUGCAUGUGUGUUGUACCAUCAUUUAUCCUGUAUUAAACAUCAUUAUUUCUAAGUUCUGGUCUUUUAGUGUUCUUCCAGAAGUGGAGUCCCUGAAAUGAGAAUCUCAGCUCAAGGUAUGAGAUUGAUUAAUUUAAGAUUUGACUUGAUGUUUGAUUUCUGAAUUAAACUUUAGUUUUCUUUAUUUUUCCACCAUUAAGGGUGGGUGGUGCCUCUUUCAACGAGUGCAUAAAUGUCAUAACUUGAGAUUAUUAAUCCUCAGACAUUUAUUAUAAAUUCAAAUCGCUACACUUUUCUAAAGAUGCUGAUUUGGUCGCAGCUUUAAGGACAGUGAUUGUGGAUAACUGAUUGUAUUUCUCAUUUUGAAAAAUCUUCAUGAAUUUUGAUAUCAACAACAUCAAGAUGAUCGUUUGUUCAAAUCACCUUCAGUUGGUGCAGAUGUUGAAGGUCUGAGACUUUAGAAAAAACUGACGUCAAAAUAUUGAAAGAAAGAUAAAAAAGGACGACCUUAUUUCCUGUCCCAAAUCCAAGCGUCUAAAGUCUUUCCAGUCGUCCCCAAAAACUCUUCAGAUGAUCUGUUUCUUUCUCUGUUUGCUGAAUAUUUGUGUUCAUGUGAUCGAUGGAUAUUUCUGUCUGCUUCUGUUGGAUCAGUGUGUUUGUAAAGACAUCUAGAAUGAGACUUUUAGCAGAUCAACAUGUUAUGAGCUUUCUAAUCACUUUUAUAAUAAUCACAUAUAUUAGUCCGACUGUUUUUCUGUUUCUGACUCAGCUCAGAUUGUGGGUGAAAACAAUAAAAAUCAUCAAGUUGAGUCACUGAAAGCACCUAACCUGUUUUUCUUUAUUUGGUCUGUUUCUGCUGGAUGUCAUGUUACAGGUCUUUCUGGGUCAUGGAUUCAUGUGGUCUGCAGGAUUUCCAUGAUGUGGUCACUCACAGGUGUUACAGGUCCUAGAUGUGGGUCCUGCAGCUGGAUCAGGUUUUCUGUAAGUAAGAGUAAUAAUCUUGAAAGAGAUUUAAGGUGUAUAUAUCAAGACAAGCAUUAUUAAAUCAUUAUUUGUUGCUCUGAGUAGUUUAAGAGUUUUGUAGCUCUGCAUUUUAUUUUGAAAGGUCCGCGGACUUCCGGUGUUACUUGUCACGACAGUUGUGUCCGAGUUUGGCAGAAGCGAACAGUCCAUUGGUAAGAAAUAACCUGCUAACAAUGUGUAGCCUCUGAAUAUAUAACGCUUUGGUGCCUAUUUCAUUGUCCUUGGAGAGAAAUAAGAGAAUGUUGAAUUAGAGAGUGUAAUUAAGUGUCCGUGGUUAGCAUUUGAUUAGCGCCGCUAGCUUCCGUUAGCAUUUUCUCUAGCUCCCUAUUAGCAUGCAAGGCUAACUCCAUUAGCAUUACAAGCUAGCGCUUAGCUGGCUGUUAUUAGCAUUUAGCUUGUAAUGUAAGCUGCUACUGUUGGUACUGUGAUACUGUGUUUAACCAGUUAGGUUCACUGUGUUUAUUGCAGUUAUACAUAAAAUGAGACCAUGAGGACCAGAAUAAAAACAUAAAAUAGGUAAGAAUAAGAAAUGUAUUAAAAAGGGGGGUUAAAAGCAGGAUACAGGGUAGUAAAUAUAAAAAGACAAUCUUAAUAAUGAUAAUAAAAUAACAAAAUAAUAUGAUCAUAAUAGUAAUGAUAAAAUAGAAUAAUAAAAAUGAGCAAGAAAAAAAACUAUCAAUAUAAGGCCUGAUAGGUUAAAUAAGAAAAGAUUAUAAGUAUAACAAAGGCUGAAAAGACAGUUAGCAAAAAUAAGAUUGCGGUAAAAGAGAAAAGACCUGUGUCACCUGUGUGGUCAAAAAAUAAAAGAAGUCCAAGAACAAAACAUUAGUUGUACCUUGAGUGUGCUUCCUGUCAAGCCUUUUCGGAGGGCUGAGUAUUUAAAAUCCGAUCAGUAUAUCGAUGUGUGUGAGUGCUGAUUGAGUUGAAGUUAAACUGCACUUUAAGUUUCAUAUCUUCUUUAACAGAUCACAACAUGACAGCAUCUUAAAACAGACUGAAUACAAACACAUAUACUGAACGCUCCUCUCUUAAGGAUUAAACAGGACAAAGCACCACCUGGCAGACAUUCUUCUGAGGGAAAGUGAACAACAUGAGAAACUGCAAAAAUAAUUUUAGAGAAUUCAGAAACAUAACAUGACACCCAAGAACAUGCAACAAAAUACAAACCUGCCUCAUUAGACACACAUACACAGAAAUAUGACACUAGUUGGAAGUGUUUCAGUGAUCCAUGAGGUGAAUAAAUGUUGGUUCAGUUGAUCUUCAGGACCGCUGCAGCUUUAAUAACCUCUGCAUGUUGGAGUUUGAGAGUCUUCCUCUUGUUCCGUUUCUUCUUCUUCUUCUUUAUUUAUCUCAAACUUUAAGAACUACAACAACAAAAAACAACUAGAAACAAAAACACCAAACAAAAUAAUAAAUAUGUACACCAAACAACUGUACAUGUCAAAGAUAAAUUAACACAACAUAUGUAUUAAGGCUGCACGAUAUUGGAAAAAAAUAAUAUUGCGAUUUUUUCAACCCUGCGAUAUAUAUUGCGAUAUUAAAAAUACAGUAUUUUCACCAGAUGACCUGAAUAGCACUUAAUGUCAUGCUGCACUGCUGAAAUCUUGAGGACAGUUAAUCUGCUCUGAUCUUACCUCUUUUUGUGAAUGUUAGUAGAACGGCUUCUGUCUGUCUCAGAGAUAUUUUUAGCUUUUAUUGUGCUGGGACGUUAUUGUGGAAACAGAUGAACACAGAAGACGUGUUUUGGUCGACAUCAUCCUUUUUUAACCGAAAUAAUUUAAGAUAACUGACUUUCCUUUUCUUUUUGGCAACAAAUCUUCAUUUUCGGUGGUUUUCGCUUGUUCGUUGUUCAUUUUGCGAUCGUUGUUGUUGUUGUUAGCGGUGCUGUACCGAGAAACGCAUGUACUCCGAGAAUUGCAUGCACCUCGCAAAACGCGCACUGCUUAUAGUAGAGUGAUUCACGGAAAUGUACAAUUUAAAACCCAUACAGUUCUUAUUUGUUGGGCUUAAUAGUCAUGAGUAAAGUUCCGAAAGUAAUUCUCAGCGGACACGCGUCUCCCUCCAUGUGCAGAACAUGUGCAGGGGUGGGUUUUCUCCUCCCUGAUUUUGAUUGACAGCUGGCAGGGUAGUCUGAUUGGCAGCUGAGAAGUGAGUCUGACUGGCAACUGAGUUAAGGACGAAGGCGAUUGGUGGAUCGCUGCACAGCACAUGCAGAGUCACAUGGAGUGUAUCUCAGUCGGUUACUCUUGAAAUUAAAUGAGUUCAUUCACCUCCAAUAUCGCAGGCUCUGCGAUGUGACUAUCGCACACACGUACAUCGCGAUGACGAUAGUCAAACGAUAUAUCGUUCAGGCCUAAUAUGUAUGUCAAAAUGUACAGUUUGGGAAGGAACAGAAUGAAGCAAAGACUUAAUCUAGUCCUGCCUCUUCCUAGCAAAUUAGAAAUUAAAAAAAAAGAAAAAAUCUAUUUUAAUAAAUUACAAAGAUCUGUAUAAAUACCUACAUUUUAUACACCAAGUGUAUAAAGUUAAAUCAAUAGUCUAAUAAACAACAAACAACUUACCUUGGUGCAGAUAAAGGUAUUCUUCGUAACGUUCCUCAGGUAACGCUGGUUAUGUGGCCGGCCACAUAACUUAUACACAGCAUGCACUUUUCCAAGGCACGCUUCGGCUUCAGAAGAGGAAUAAAAAAUGCCCCAUUCAAACGCUCUGGGUACCUAGUGUCGCUGUUGCAGGUCCCCCAGCAGCAACGUUUCACCAUGGUGGUAAUAUAAUAUGAAUCUUCUUGAUAUUAUAUUGUUAAUCAACUUCUGAAAAAGCCCUAAAUAACAUGUGAUUUAACGAGUGAUGUGGCCAUGAUGUCCGACUCUUGUUUGCUACGCUGUGAUUGGACCAUCGCAGUCUGGGGGCGGAACGUACCGAAGAGUCUAUCGGACAGAUACAUUUAUGUUCACUCCUUAGAUUAUAGCCCCCCUCCCUGGUUUUGAACAUCUUUUGUAGAUUAGCAGGUAACUUACUUUGUGUUACUUUGUACAGCACUUGAUCCGUUUUAUAAUUGACUAUGUCAUUAAAUUUUAACAUUUCUGAUUUUAGGAACAGAGGGCUGGUGUGAUCUCUGUAUCCAGCAUGAUUUAUGGUCCGGAUGACCUUUUUUUGUGUUUAUCUUUUGUAGAUUGGUCUUGUAUGUGUUUCCCCAGAUUUCAACACUGGGGAAAGGCAGGAUCAUGGAGCAGUAGAGUGUGCGUUGUGAUUUUUGUGGUAAUAAAUUAAUUUGCUGAUAGUUCCGAUACUGGUGAUUUUUUUUGGUAUCAGAAGAAGAAAGAGAGGAAAGAAAAAGAAAGAGGGGAGGCAGCUGUUGACUGCUUUCUUUCCCAAAGGUGAAUCCAGUUUGUUUGUUCUGUAAAGUCCAGUUAAAGUCAAGUAGGACUCUAAACUUCACAUCGCCGCUGCUCUCCCUGAAUUAUACAAGAGCUGAAUUUCCCCUCCCUCGUCUCUCACACAGCUCACUCCACUCUGCACACUCACUUCCUUGCUCUCUUCACUUCCUCUUUCCCUCCCCUUCAGAUCUACAGUUGUAACUAACGUGUGCUGAGCUGAUAUCCUGCUGAAACACAUGUUGUUGAGAUCAGAGCUCAGACUAGUUUCACUUCUCAGGAAAUAAAACUCAGUCAGUUGUUGUCAACAGCGAGUGUUGAAAUGGCGCAGAAGGGAGUUCUUCUGGACCGUGAGUCUUUCUCUUGUUCCAUCUGUUUGGAUCUUCUGAAGGAUCCGGUGACUGUUAACUGUGGACACAGCUUCUGCAUGAGCUGUAUUCAAUCCUACUGGGAUACUGAGGAUGAGAAGAAGAUCUACAGCUGUCCUCAGUGCAGACGGACCUUCAGACCGAGGCCUGUCCUGAUGAAAAACACCAUGUUAGCAGGUUUAGUGGAGGAAGUGAAGAAGAGUGGACUCCAAGCUGCUCCUGAUGAUCCCUCUGAGGCUGGACCUGAAGAUGUGGCCUGUGAUUCCUGCAGUGGGAGAAAACUGAAGGCUGUCAAGUCCUGUCUUCAAUGUCUGGUUUCUUACUGCCAGAUUCACCUCCAGCCUCAUUUUGAAUCACCUUCAUAUAAGAAACACAAGCUGGUGGAGCCCUCCAAGAACCUCCAGGAGAACAUCUGCUCUCGUCAUGAUGAGGUGAUGAAGAUCUUCUGCCGCACUGAUAAGAAGUCUAUCUGUCAUCUCUGCUGUUUGGACCAACACAAAGGUCACAACACAGUCUCAGCUGCGGCAGAAAGGACUGAGAGGCAGAAAGAUCUGGAGGAGAGUCGAGAAAACAUCCAGCAGAGAAUCCAGGACAGAGAAGAAGAUGUGAAGCUGCUCCAACAGGAGGUGGAGGCUAUCAACGGCUCUGCUGAUAAAGCUGUGGAGCACAGCCAGGAGAUCUUCAGCCAGCUGAUCCGUCUGAUGGAGAAACGCCGCUCUGACGUGGAGCAGCAGGUCAGAUCCCAGCAGGAACGUGAAGUGAGUCGAGUCAAAGAACUUCAGGAGAAACUGGAGCAGGAGAUCACUGAGCUGAAGAGGAAAGAUGCUGAUCUGCAGAAGCUCUCACUCACAGAGGACCACAACCAGUUUCUGCACAGCUACCCCUCACUGUCAGAACCGGGUCAACCUGCAGACUCACCCAGGAUCAACAUCCGUCCUCAGAGAUACUUUGAGGAGGUGACAGCAGCUGUGUCAGAGGUCAGAGAUAUACUCCAGGAUCUUCUGACAGAGACGUGGACAAACGUCUCACAGGCAGUGACUGAAGUGGAUGUUUUACUGUUAGAACCAGAACCAGAACCCAAGACCAGAGCUGGUUUCUUAAGAUAUUCACAAAGAAUCACACUGGAUCCAAACACAGCAGACAGACGACUGUUAUUAUCUGAUGGAAACAGAAGAGCAACAUUUACGAAACAGCUACAGUCUUAUCCUGAUCAUCCAGACAGAUUCACUUACUGUUCUCAGGUCCUGAGUAGAGAGAGUCUGACUGGACGUUGUUACUGGGAGGUGGACUGGAGAGGGAAUGGGGUUUAUGUAGCAGUCGCAUACGAGACGAUCAGCAGAGACGGGGACUCAGAUGAUUGUUUAUUUGGAGGAAAUGACAAAUCGUGGACAUUAUACUGUUCAAAAGAAAGUCAUGUAUUUGUUCACAACAAAGUCCUCACUGAUGUCUCAGGUCCUCAGUCCUCCAGAGUAGGAGUGUACCUGGAUCACAGAGCAGGUAUUCUGUCCUUCUACAGCGUCUCUGAAACCAUGACUCUCCUCCACAGAGUCCAGACCACAUUCACUGAACCUCUACAUGCUGGACUGUGGUUAGGCUGCAGUGAUGGAGACUCUGCUGAGUUUGUAGAAGUGAAAUAAAGAGAAUUUUGAGUCCAUCAGACCAAAAUCAUGGACUGAGAUCCUUGAACUCUUGAAAUGUUCUGGUUUGUAAAUGUUUGUGGAUCAGUCUCACCAAAAACUCUGGGUUUAGUUCUUCAUUUCAGCUUUUUGAUUCUUUUCUAAAGAUGCUGAUUUGGUCGCAGCUUUAAGGACAGUGAUUGUGGAGAACUUUGAUUGUUUGUAUUUCUCAAGUUGAAACAUCUUCAUUAAGUUUGAUAUCAACAACAUCAAGAUGAAUAUUUGUUCAUCAUCACAUGUGUUUGUAAAGACAUCUAGAGUCAGACUUUGGACAGAUCUACAUGUUGUUAUGAGCUUUUCAAUCACUCUAAUAAUAAUAAUCACAUUUAUUAGUCCGACUGUUUUUAUGUUUCUGACUCAGCUCAGAUUGUGGUCAAGUCUCUGAUUGUGGGUGAAAACAAUAAAAAUCAUCAAACUGAGUCACUGAAAUCACCUCGUCUGUUUUUCUUGAUGGUUUAGUGUAACGUCAGUGAGCCCAGACUGAAUGACCUGAGGGUUAGACAUUAUACUGCUUUCUUGUCUGUUGACUGCUUUCUUUCCCAAAGGUGAACCCAGUUUGUUUAUUCUGUCCAGUUAAGUCCAGUUAAAGUUAGCG